rnacentral:rRNA from 1 species
CAGUGGGGAAUAUUGCACAAUGGGCGCAAGCCUGAUGCAGCCAUGCCGCGUGUAUGAAGAAGGCCUUCGGGUUGUAAAGUACUUUCAGCGAGGAGGAAGGUGUUGUGGUUAAUAACCACAGCAAUUGACGUUACUCGCAGAAGAAGCACCGGCUAACUCCGUGCCAGCAGCCGCGGUAAUACGGAGGGUGCAAGCGUUAAUCGGAAUUACUGGGCGUAAAGCGCACGCAGGCGGUUUGUUAAGUCAGAUGUGAAAUCCCCGGGCUCAACCUGGGAACUGCAUUUGAAACUGGCAAGCUUGAGUCUCGUAGAGGGGGGUAGAAUUCCAGGUGUAGCGGUGAAAUGCGUAGAGAUCUGGAGGAAUACCGGUGGCGAAGGCGGCCCCCUGGACGAAGACUGACGCUCA